UGCAGUGGGAAUAAUGAUUUUUCAUUGAAGAGUGGGUAGAAAUGUGGAAUGGCGCUUAAGCUGCUUAUUCUGGUGUCUGUUUUAUCGUCAGUAGAUGGAUUUAUAUUUUUUCGAUAAGAGUAGGAAAAAAUACGUAUUUUCAGGGAUUUGGGAAAAUAUAUUCAAACACCUGCGAAGAAGUCUUCGAAUAAAUAAACAACCAACGUUGACGUUGUGACAGAGAAGAAUGUGUCGAGAGAGGAAAAUCUGUCGAGAGAGAAGAAUGUGGCGACAUAUACCCUGUUAGAGAUUCCACGGAAAGAAGAGACGACAGCAAGAAUAACAACGAAACUAGCCAAUCCAACAACAAUAACAACUACUGAAACAGGUAAUACACUGCUCACAUGCUGCUCAGGAAGGUUUAGUAUACUAGAUUGAUAUUUACACCGAUCGUCUGGUACCUGAACUUGCGGAGGGUAUGACCGGUCACAUCUCUUAUUCUUCCUAGACACCCGAUUCCACGUCUGUUUUGUUUUUCCUAGAGAUCUGUCUUCUCGAUUUCAUAUUUUUCAUGGGAUAUUUGAGAUUGGUCAAUGUUCGUUAUCUUCACACAAUUUUUGUUUUAACAGUUAACAGUAUCAACUUAUUUUUUAUGUGUGGCUCCUCAUCUCAUAUCAGAAGAUCGUCUGGCUCCGUAUUUGAGAAGAUCUCGGAAUAAUGCUGUCGGACAAGAGAACAGAGCAUUGAUCUUCUGCAUUGCUGGGUUUUCUGUGGCAGCUGUUAUGAUGCUUAUUUCACACCUUGCUUUAAGUUUAGCUAUUAACUGCGAAAAUCCAAAUAAUACAACUUAGGACGCAUGAACAUAUUUUAAAAGUACAUUUGUUGAUAUUGCUCAAUUUAAGAAAAGUGUACAAUGAAGCGUUUUGCACACAGCAUGCGUUAGGGUACACCUUGUAAUUUGGAUCAGAGUGGGCUAGGGUACACCUUGUAAUUUGGAUCAGAGUGGGCUAGGGUACACCUUGCAAUUUGGAUCAGAGCGGGCUAAGGUACACCUUGUACAUGUAUUUUGGAUCAGAGCGGAUGACAAUGUCAUAUUGUAAUUUUCGAAUUUACUGGUUGCGUGCAAAUACAAAAAUGAGAGAGAGAGAGAGAGAGAGAGAGAGAGAGAGAGAGAGAGAGAGAGAGAGAGAGAUUAACAUUUACCCAAUGGUUGUGUCUAGAUCCGCGCCUUGCAUCCUGAAUGUAUUUCCAUGGACUUGUAAAAUAUACAAUUUUUCACAUACGAUGGUAGAUGUACAUCUACAUAUACAUGUAUUAAUUCACCGUGGUUUUUUCUUUAAUUCUUUCGUCUUUAUACAAAAUAAACUCAUCAGUCACAUUUGGGAUCAGGGACACUGAUGUGAAAAACAGAUGGAAAUACUGAAUUUUAAGGUAAAAGAGGAGGGAGCUGUACGAAAACAAAAGGAGCAAAAAGCAGGAAGUCUACCAACUAAUGAGUUACGUCUACCAAUAAGUAAGCGUAGAUUGAGGCCAGAAUUUAGUCUAGACUGCAUAUUCGCCUUUUUGUGAAACGCAACAUACUCGGAUUUUCAGAUUUAGUCCGGAAUAAGCUCACGCUUGGUUGUGUGCCUUUUAGAAACGGGGCCACAAGAGUUACGACCAGACGCUUUACAGAACGGGUCCCUGGUCAUGAAACGAACGGACGAUAACUUACUUAACAGGAAACAAGAAACUGUAAUUUUACUGUGAUGAGCAGAGUAAUGAUGUUCCUUAAAUCUUGUGCCCACCUUAAACCCAAACCCUCACGAAAGAAAAUUUGAUUUAAAAAAAAUCAACAAGUUAUGGGAUGUUCGAAAAAUAGGGAUGAAGGGCUCUACAUUUGUAAGACUUUUCCAAUUUAAUUUGUUCUUAUUGUUAAUAAUUUUUAUUUGAUGUUUUAAAAUUGCAAAACAAUCAUUUCUUAUUUAUAGAAAUCAAUGUCUGAAUUCUUGUUUGCGUUAUUACUUAUAAUUAUUAUUGCAUUUUAACGUAAUUAUCCAUGUACCAUGUACAUUCAUACAUUUAUAUAAAAAACUGACCUGUAACUAUGCUAAUUUCAUUAUGAAUGGUAGAUAGAGGUUCUACCUACAUGGCAAAUUAUUUUAUUGUGUAUUAUAUCAUUUUAUCAUUUAUCUAUGUGAACAUGAUUGUCAUACUAAUAUUCAUUUUUCUCAUUUUUUUAUCGAUCGAAAUAGCUCUAGUUACUUUUAAAGUAUGUACCUAUGCAUAAUCUAUCAAUCGAUGAUAAUUUUUUAUAACCAGAAUAAUGGUUAUAAAUAAUAGUAUGGGCCAAACUGGAUCAACCGCAUUCGUUUGCCUAUUGACCCGGGUUUGUAAGUAAAAUGAAAGCCAUUCGAAUUAUCAAAUAAUGUAUCGAGUGUCUAAUUCAACUCUCUAUAAAUUCAAUAAAUUGAAAAAAAAGUUUUCCAGCAAGAGGUGUAUAGUUUAUGGGGAAUAUGCAACAAUGUUUGUUUUGGUCAAUUGUACCAAGAAGAUUGUAUACAAUCAUUGAUUUCUUUAUUUAAAGGUGAUAUUAUGUGCUAAAUGUAGUUCCGAAGACUUAAUGUAUCACUGUCAGAGAAUAUAUUCUGUGUGUUUAAAAACAAACAAUGAUAUAUGUAGGAGGAAAACUAAAAAAUAA